rnacentral:lncRNA from 1 species
AUGCCCACACUGAGGCAGAAACCUUGGAUGUGCCCCAAGAAAUCAGACGCUGAGCUAAAACUCCUUGGCCUUCAACUGGAGUUGGCUAUUUGUCUACUGAAGCAUGAAAUCAAUAAAAGCCAGCACCUUCAAGAAGAUAGUCGUAAUGGGAUCACUACCUUGUUGAGGUUGGAUUGACAAUACAGGACAAGAGGUUUUCCAUUUGUGGAAACUUUAUACCAAACCUAGCCUUCUUGACAGCGGGUUUGUUUAGCUGCAAGCAGUUGUCAGACACCAGCAAAGUCUCUGAAUAAUGCUGACACAGGGCCCUGUUCAGAGCCCUUUCAACACUUAGCAUCAAGCAGAUGAAAAGUGAUUUUUAAUUAUUCAUGGAAUCUUUUGUGAAUAGAGAGCAGGUGGAUGUGGUAUUUUGAAUUUGCUUCUCUGAUAAAAUCUUAUAUUUGAGUAGUUCAGGAUAAAAUCGAGAGCUUCCUGUCCCAGAUAUGGCUGAAGAGAUGGGUAGCGUAGUGUAGUGAGAAGGAGAGAUUUUAGAGUCUAGCAAAGACCAUGCCUUAGACUGACCUGCUUUGUGAUAAUGGGCAAAUUGCUUAAUCAUAUUAAACCAUAGUUUUCUGAUUUCUAAGAGUCGGUAUUGUAAUAGUUCCCGCCUUGAAGGCUUCUUAUGAAGACUAAGUGAAAGAAGAUAUGGAUAAGGAGGUAAAGAAACCCUUGAAAUCAUCCAAGAUCCUGGAUUUACAAAUAAGGAAAUUGCCAUUGUCUUGUCUAUAAAGUGAAAACCUAGGACUCCAUCCUCAUACACCUAACUCUGAGCAGUGCUCUUUCUGGCACAACAUGCUGUGGAAAGAAAAAUACUUCUAAAAAACAUAUAUUACCUAACAUCCCUAUGUAAGCUCGAAAGAGCUCACAUUAUCUAUUUAAUUCUAAUUCUAUGAAGCUAGAUUCCAACAGGCUAAAAUAUUGCAGGAAGGGGCCACAGCCAAUUGGGUUUCUAAAUGGUGCAUCGUGGGUGAAGGAUGGGAUAGUGGCUUGAGUUGUGGCCUCCAAAAAUGUAUGUCUGUGACAAAUCCCCAGAAUAUGCGAAUGUGACCUUUUUUGGAAAAAAGAUGUUGCAGAUGUAAUUAAGUUAAGGAUCUUAUGAUAAAUAGAUCA